GUCCUUUGUUGUUCAGGUGAAGCACAGGGUGUGUUCUAGCCGCCGGGACUGGGGUUUCCUUUGGAGAAAAAAAGUUUUCUUGGUGUGAAGAGGAGCCCUUUAACCUGAUUAAACCUGGAGGAAUAACUCACAAGGCUUGAACGUAGUGGCCUGCUGUUCUUCGAUCUUGAGAGGGAACAAGAAGACAUCAGAUAUUAGACCACAGUCUGAACAAUUUGUUAGAAGAUGUGGAUCCCGAAUCGUCUCAAUGUAACCAGCUUCAUGUGACAUUGAUUCUUUCUGUAACCUACAUUUGGAAAUGUGGUGGAACUGAAAAGUGCAGAGGCGAGCAAAUUACUUGUGGAGUUAUUUAUCAAAAUGUCCCACACGGUGUCUUUCACCUUUCAGGACUUUGAGAAUGGAGAUCCUACCAGCCAAGACCUAAGUCCAUAUGAUGAAGGGGCCGUGCAUGAUUCCUUCCACCAGCUAAUUAAGGAGCAGAGCAGUUUGGCUGAGCAAGAGUUGGUGGAGAUGCAAGAUUUGACUACCAGGAGCAAAGAAAAUCUGGUUCAUCCCUCAGAUCCGACUGGAACUUGGAACCCAUAUGCACGGCUGGUUGAGCACCCUGAUUUCUCUUCCACCACAUUGCGCAUCCUUGCCAAUAUGCCCAGCCGGACUAUUGGGCGCAGCAGAGGAGCCAUCCUGUCCCAGUAUUGCAACCGCACUGCCAGGCGACGGCGACGGAGCAACCGUGCCCCUCUCCAGGAAGUAUCCCGUUCUGCACGGCCUAGUUUUCGAGAGCUGUCCCUAGAGUUGGAUUCCAGUUACAGAGAAGAAGACCCCAAGUAUAUUUUGCUGGUCAAAGAACUCCAGAACCUGCCAGUACAUCAACGCAAUCACAUGCUGCAGAUGAUGCCUCUAAGCUUGGCUGAGAAGCGCAGACUCAGGCAGGAUUCAAGCGGGCAUUCAGGCACCUUGAGGAAACCCAAGCCAACGGGUCGCUUGUCUUACUGCAGCUGGAUUAAAUACCACAUCCUAAUAGGCUUCCGGAAUUUUUGGUACAAUCUGCUGUCCUUCAUUCCUAUUCUCCAGCCCUGGCAUUAUUCCCUCAAGAAGAUCAGUGGCCGCUUUGGCUCUAGCAUCCUCUCCUAUUUCCUAUUCCUCAGGACGUUGCUCUUCUUCAAUCUCUUUAUGUUCCUGAUCCUGCUGGUCUUUGUAGUUGCUGUGCAGGCUGCUUUCCCUUCUGCCAUACCCAACAAUGUGGCUUUCACAGGAUCUGAGCUCUUAACUGGAGCAGGCUACUUCAGUCACACAGUGAUGUAUUAUGGCUACUACAGUAAUUUCACACUGAAUGCCCCUGAUGCUUCUGAAGCUAAUAGCACCCAUUACAGGCAACACACACAUAGCCAGAUGUCCUACAAUAUGCCUCUGGCUUACCUCUUUGUUACUGGAAGUGCCUUCUUUGGAAUCUGCUUUCUCUUGAUCUACAGUUUGUCUCACUCCUUUGGGGAAAGUUAUCGUGUAGGCAGUGCCUCAAGUAACCUGGCAGUCAAAGUCUUCUGUUCCUGGGAUUACAAAGUGAUUCAGAAACGCUCAGUCCAACUCCAGAGUGAGAACAUUCGCACACAUCUGAAGGAGUGUCUGGCUGAGCAGAGGCUGGAAUCCUGUUUAAGUUUUUCUAAGAAACUUCAGGAACUCGUGGUCUUGCUGGUGACCUGGACUGUAUCCCUGAGCACUGUUGCAGGCACUGCCAUUGGUAUACACUACUUUUCUAAAUACGUACAUCAGGUUCUGCAUGAGGAGAUUUUGAAAAACAACCAUGCUGGGAAAGAGUUGCUGCUCCUGGCCCUGCCUCUGGUUGUGUCUCUCAUUAACUUGCUUAUGCCCUAUUUUUACAACCUCCUGGCUGCGUGGGAGAAACAGGAAUCUCCAGUCCUGGAGGUGUACAUUGCCAUUACCAGGAAUUUAAUUCUCAAGACGAUCAUCUUGGGCCUACUGUCCUACCAUUGGUUGAGUUGGAAAGUGACAUCUUCAGAGAUUCAGUGCUGGGAAACCUUUGUGGGGCAGGAGCUCUACCGUUUGAUGGUGAUGGAUUUGAUUUUCAUUCUCCUGGAUGUCAUCUUUGGAGAGCUGAUAUGGAGGAUCAUAUUGGAAAAGAAGUUACAAAGUAAACAGAGGCCUGAAUUUGACAUUGCUAGAAAUGUGCUAGAUUUGAUUUAUGGUCAAACCUUAACCUGGCUGGGGGUUUUCUUUGCCCCACUUCUUCCUGUGGUCCAAAUCCUCAAAUUGCUGCUGUUGUUCUAUGUUAAGAAGGUCAGCUUGAUGAGAAAUUGUCAAUGUCCCAGCAAACCCUGGCGUGCAUCUCAGAUGAGCACCAUCUUCAUCUCUUUGCUGUGCUUCCCUUCAUUCCUGGGUGCCUCCGUAUUCCUCUCCUAUACUAUCUGGGCAAUAAAACCAUCAGAAAUGUGUGGACCUUUUCAAACUUUUGAUACCAUCUAUGAUUCUUGGAAGGCAUGGGUACUAAAGCUGGAAGAAUCCAAUCCAAAUAUCACUUGGUUUACCUGGAUCCAUCAAAACCUCUUCCAGACUUCCUAUUUCCUGUUGUUAAUCAUUGCAAUGUUGAUGGCUGUGAUCUACUUCACCAUUGAGAUGGUAAAGGGUCUUCGGAGUAUCAUUUCAAUACUAAAGGGUCAGAUUGCCAAUGAAAGAGAAGACAAGAAGUUUCUCAUUCAAAGACUUCAUAUUAUAUAUGAAAAAUGAAAGUACAACAGGGUGAAAAUGAGGUAAGGCCAUUUGGAACCAAUUAGGACAGGACAGGACAGCGAUAUGCCAAACAAUAGGACCCAAGUAGUUGGCUAAAAACUUUGCUCAAACUAGCCGAUAGGCUAUGCUAAAUCCACACAGCUAGUAGCCUCAUACCUUAUAGUUUAGUUUAGGAAUUCUGCAAUAGUUGUUUUGUUUUUUCCCUCUUUUCAGUAGACCAAAAUACCCAAGUGCAGUUACACGUUUCCCUAAGCCCCUUCCUUCAGUGUACAACACUGUAGCAAAUUACCAAAUUUUGUCUAGAAAAUUACAGGCUCUGAAGCAAAUAUAUUUCAGAGGAAGGCACAUUAGUCUUGUUUUUGUCACACACACACACAUAAAUGAGAAAGACUAUCUCCAUUAAACUUAAGAUAUUACACUGCCAUGAUUGCAGGAACUUUCUAUGGAAGGACGAUGACCAAAGCAGCAACAUGAACAGAUCCAUUUUACCUUAGCAUCUUUACCAGCGAAUGUACCAAGUGAACCUUUCGCUGAAGGACUUCUUAGGAAAAGGAGAAUAGAUAUGUGGCUAGCCAGAACAGGUUUGAUGAACAUGUUCAUGCUGCUGAAGACAUCUGACAUUGACGCCCUUCACUUCCUGCAUGUGAAUGUUAUCUACCUUUAGUUGAAGAAGUUAUAUUCUAACUGUUUGCUGGCCAUUCCAGUUUGUCUUCAGCCAAAUGGAAACCUUUCCUGAACCAGACUAAGAGCUUCUAGACUUCCUGAAGAUUUUUACAGACAAUUUUUAUAACAGAGAAUUCAAACUUAUAUUUUAUAAUGUGCAAUGAUCUAAGUACUUUGUUUUGCCAGGAUUAUGAAAUCUAUGACCUCACAUGGAAAGUGUAGAGUUACUGGAAUGAAAUCUUUCUUACAAAGGACCUCAUGGCUUAAUAUUAUUAAAAAUGAUUAUCUUUAAAAAGCUCUCUAGUUACCUAAGAGUAAAUUAUAUUCCCUUUUAAUUCAUUUGCUAUUAAUUGCCUAAGUGAUGGUGAACAGUUGUCAUUUGUUAAGUUCUCAUAGUGUGCAGUUACUCCAACAUGGUUGUGCAUGCCUACAUUUUAACUCAUAUCCUUUGAAUAUAUUUUCACUUCAGGUGUGAGCACUAAUCUGUAGAGGAAAUCUUAACUCUUUGCUACCUCAUCUUUUAUUUUCUUUGUGGAAUUAAGGUGUACAAUUAUGGGCCAUUUUUCACAAUUUCUACGUUCCAGACAGUAAAUAAAAACUGCAACUUUCUUUUUAGAA